GAGUUUGAUCAUGGCUCAGGACGAACGCUGGCGGCGUGCCUAAUACAUGCAAGUCGAGCGAGCGGAACUAACAGAUUUACUUCGGUAAUGACGUUAGGAAAGCGAGCGGCGGAUGGGUGAGUAACACGUGGGGAACCUGCCCCAUAGUCUGGGAUACCACUUGGAAACAGGUGCUAAUACCGGAUAAGAAAGCAGAUCGCAUGAUCAGCUUUAAAAGGCGCGUAAGCUGUCGCUAUGGGAUGGCCCCGGCGCAUUAGCUAGUUGGUAAGGUAAAGGCUUACCAAGGCGAUGAUGCACAGCCGAGUUGAGGACUGAUCGGCCACAUUGGGACUGAGACAC
rnacentral:rRNA from 1 species